GAUGAACGCUAGCGGGAGGCCUAACACAUGCAAGCCGAGCGGUAUGCAUUCUUAGCUUGCUAAGAAUGCAGAGAGCGGCGCACGGGUGCGUAACAUGUGUGCAACUUGCCUUUAUCAGGGGGAUAGCCUUUAGAAAUGAAGAUUAAUACCCCAUAAUAUAUUGAUUGGCAUCAAUUAAUAUUGAAAACAUUUGUGGAUAAAGAUAGGCACGCACAAGAUUAGCUAGUUGGUACGGUAACGGCGUACCAAGGCGACGAUCUUUAGGGGGCCUGAGAGGGUGAUCCCCCACACUGGUACUGAGACACGGACCAGACUCCUACGGGAGGCAGCAGUGAGGAAUAUUGGACAAUGGGUGAGAGCCUGAUCCAGCCAUCCCGCGUGAAGGACGACGGACCUAUGGUUUGUAAACUUCUUUUAUAUAGGAAUAAACCUACCCUCGUGAGGGUAGCUGAAUGUACUAUAUGAAUAAGCACCGGCUAACUCCGUGCCAGCAGCCGCGGUAAUACGGAGGGUGCAAGCGUUAUCCGGAUUUAUUGGGUUUAAAGGGUCCGUAGGCGGGCUAAUAAGUCAGUAGUGAAAUCUUGUCGCUUAACGAUAAAACUGCUAUUGAUACUGUUAGUCUUGAGUGUAUUUGAAGUAGCUGGAAUGAGUAGUGUAGCGGUGAAAUGCAUAGAUAUUACUCAGAACACCAAUUGUGAAGGCAGGUUACUAAGAUACAACUGACGCUGAUGGACGAAAGCGUGGGGAGCGAACAGG
rnacentral:rRNA from 1 species